AGUAGUGCCUGGGAUACGGUUUGCUCUAGCAAGAGAUAAACAAAAUUGCAGAGGAUCAUCUUCAACACCAUCCUGCACACUGAGAUCAGAGAGAUAGGAAGACUGCACUUAGCCACUCUAAUUUGAAAGUUGCCACAGAGGAAGUGAGCAAAGAUCAGACAGACUCUAGCCAUCCAGGAACUAGAUUAUCCACCUCCUCUAAAAAGAAGCUUUGUUAUCCUUCUGCAUCAUUUACCAACCUUGGAGAAAACGGGGGUGAGAAACGCAUCCUCUAUAGAGGUGGAGUAAUCUGAAGUGUAAGAAGAGAGUAAAGGAGAAGGACAACUCAUCUACUAUGAGAGCAGAUUACCCCCCACCCACACCAACAGGUCCAAGAUUUGGCCACACCUCUCAUUUGUAAGACAGUAUUCCAGGACUACAGAUGGAAAUGAAGAAUUUGCUACUCCAAUCUUGGGCAAACAGCUUACCU